rnacentral:rRNA from 1 species
AACGAACGCUGGCGGCAUGCCUAACACAUGCAAGUCGAACGAGACCUUCGGGUCUAGUGGCGCACGGGUGUGUAACGCGUGGGAACCUGCCUUUAGGUUCGGGAUAACUCAGAGAAAUUUGAGCUAAUACCGGAUGAUGUCUUCGGACCAAAGAUUUAUCGCCUUUGGAUGGGCCCGCGUUGGUUUAGCUAGUUGGUGGGGUAAAGGCCUACCAAGGCGACGAUCCAUAGCUGGUCUGAGAGGAUGAUCAGCCACACUGGGACUGAGACACGGCCCAGACUCCUACGGGAGGCGGCAGUGGGGAAUAUUGCACAAUGGGCGGAAGGCUGAUCCAGCAAUGCCGCGUGAGUGAUGAAGGCCUUAGGGUUGUAAAGCUCUUUUACCCGAGAUGAUAAUGACGGUAUCGGGAGAAUAAGCUCCGGCUAACUCCGUG